GCUGCUGCUGCCGCCGCCGCCGCCGGGGAAGGGGGGGAGGGAAGGGGGUAAAAAAGGGUUAAGAAACUUGGCUGAAGAGAUGAAUGGCACGGCGCGGAGCGGGGAGGGGCCGGGCUGCGCCGCGCCAGGCGAGGGGGAAGGAGGGGAGGAUCACGGCUGCGGGUUAGGCUUUGAAAGUCAGCCUCACAGGCAUUGCAGCAGAGCCCCGAACCGCGGAGGGGAGCGGCGCGGAGCUCUCCGUAUCAAGCAUGGAACUGUUUAGGAAGAAAAUUAACACAUCCUUGGACUCCUGAAGGAAGAGCCUUCCCGAUGGGACCACUUUCAAGUGUGAAAGGAUGGGAUGCAAACCCCUGGGAGACUGACUUCCACAUCCUUGCUGCUUUCAGUAGUGGACCAGACAGGCUCAACAAGCUGUUUUGUGACAAGAAACACUCUCCUGUAUUACUUUGUGAUAUGGAAACGUUGGUGACAGCAGUGGAAGAGAGCUGGGGGGAAAAGAAGGGGCUGUGGGAUUAGAUUGUGCGAACUAAUAAACCUUCAUGCUGAAAUGGGCA
rnacentral:lncRNA from 1 species